rnacentral:rRNA from 1 species
GAUGAACGCUGGCGGCGUGCCUAAUACAUGCAAGUCGAGCGAACGGACGAGAAGCUUGCUUCUCUGAUGUUAGCGGCGGACGGGUGAGUAACACGUGGAUAACCUACCUAUAAGACUGGGAUAACUUCGGGAAACCGGAGCUAAUACCGGAUAAUAUUUUGAACCGCAUGGUUCAAAAGUGAAAGACGGUCUUGCUGUCACUUAUAGAUGGAUCCGCGCUGCAUUAGCUAGUUGGUAAGGUAACGGCUUACCAAGGCAACGAUGCAUAGCCGACCUGAGAGGGUGAUCGGCCACACUGGAACUGAGACACGGUCCAGACCCCUACGGGAGGCAGCAGUAGGGAAUCUUCCGCAAUGGGCGAAAGCCUGACGGAGCAACGCCGCGUGAGUGAUGAAGGUCUUCGGAUCGUAAAACUCUGUUAUUAGGGAAGAACAUAUGUGUAAGUAACUGUGCACAUCUUGACGGUACCUAAUCAGAAAGCCACGGCUAACUACGUGCCAGCAGCCGCGGUAAUACGUAGGUGGCAAGCGUUAUCCGGAAUUAUUGGGCGUAAAGCGCGCGUAGGCGGUUUUUUAGUCUGAUGUGAAAGCCCACGGCUCAACCGUGGAGGGUCAUUGGAAACUGGAAAACUUGAGUGCAGAAGAGGAAAGUGGAAUUCCAUGUGUAGCGGUGAAAUGCGCAGAGAUAUGGAGGAACACCAGUGGCGAAGGCGACUUUCUGGUCUGUAACUGACGCUGAUGUGCGAAAGCGUGGGGAUCAAACAGGAUUAGAUACCCUGGUAGUCCACGCCGUAAACGAUGAGUGCUAAGUGUUAGGGGGUUUCCGCCCCUUAGUGCUGCAGCUAACGCAUUAAGCACUCCGCCUGGGGAGUACGACCGCAAGGUUGAAACUCAAAGGAAUUGACGGGGACCCGCACAAGCGGUGGAGCAUGUGGUUUAAUUCGAAGCAACGCGAAGAACCUUACCAAAUCUUGACAUCCUUUGACAACUCUAGAGAUAGAGCUUUCCCCUUCGGGGGACAAAGUGACAGGUGGUGCAUGGUUGUCGUCAGCUCGUGUCGUGAGAUGUUGGGUUAAGUCCCGCAACGAGCGCAACCCUUAAGCUUAGUUGCCAUCAUUAAGUUGGGCACUCUAAGUUGACUGCCGGUGACAAACCGGAGGAAGGUGGGGAUGACGUCAAAUCAUCAUGCCCCUUAUGAUUUGGGCUACACACGUGCUACAAUGGACAAUACAAAGGGCAGCGAAACCGCGAGGUCAAGCAAAUCCCAUAAAGUUGUUCUCAGUUCGGAUUGUAGUCUGCAACUCGACUACAUGAAGCUGGAAUCGCUAGUAAUCGUAGAUCAGCAUGCUACGGUGAAUACGUUCCCGGGUCU